rnacentral:rRNA from 2 species
UACGUAGGUGGCAAGCGUUGUCCGGAUUUACUGGGCGUAAAGGAUGCGUAGGCGGAUAUUUAAGUGAGAUGUGAAAUUCCCGGGCUUAACUUGGGAGCUGCAUUUCAAACUGGAUAUCUAGAGUGUGGGAGAGGAGAAUGGAAUUCCUAGUGUAGCGGUGAAAUGCGUAGAGAUUAGGAAGAACACCAGUGGCGAAGGCGAUUCUCUGGACCAUAACUGACGCUGAGGCAUGAAAGCGUGGGUAGCAAACAGG